rnacentral:rRNA from 1 species
AAAUCGGAGCGGACCCCCCACCGAAAUUUAACGAUCCCAAAUAAUAGAGGGCAUUGAAUGAUAAAUAACAAACAAGAAAAUCAUCCAAAAUAACAUCGUUAACCCCACACUGGUGUACUUCAAGGGAAAGACCAAAAGGAAAAGAAGGAACUCGGCAAACACCCCAAAGCCUCGCCUGUUUACCAAAAACAUCGCCUCUUGCUAACUACACAUAAGAGGUCCUGCCUGCCCUGUGACCCCUGGUUCAACGGCCGCGGUAUUUUGACCGUGCAAAGGUAGCGCAAUCACUUGUCUCUUAAAUGAGGACCUGUAUGAAUGGCACGACGAGGGCUUAACUGUCUCCUUUCCCCGGUCAGUGAAAUUGAUCUUCCCGUGCAGAAGCGGGAAUCCUAACAUAAGACGAGAAGACCCUAUGGAGCUUUAGACUUCAGAACAGAUCAUGUAAGCUACCCCCGUGAAAUGGGUAAUAACUAUUGAAUUUCUGUUCCCCUGUCUUUGGUUGGGGCGACCACGGGGAAGAAAAAAACCCCCAUGUGGACCAGGAGCACAUUACUCCUACAACCAUGAGCCACAGCUCUAAUGCACAAAAUUUUUGACCAUUAGAUCCGGCAAAGCCGAUCAACGGACCAAGUUACCCUAGGGAUAACAGCGCAAUCCCCUUUAAGAGUCCAUAUCGACAAGGGGGUUUACGACCUCGAUGUUGGAUCAAGACAUCCUAAUGGUGCAGCCGCUAUUAAGGGUUCGUUUGUUCAACGAUUAAAGUCCUACGUGAUCUGAGUUCAGACCGG